rnacentral:lncRNA from 1 species
AGUCCUUCGCCGUCCCUCGCCGUCCUUCGCCAUCGCACGCCACCGCACCCCAUCUCUCGAAAUCUGCAGACAUCUUGAUUUUUCCCACGCUGUCUGUCAGGUCUCCGCCGCCACUCGACGCCAGGGCGCCGGGUGAGUCCACAGCAGGGCGCAUGGUCGGCUCCACUCUCACCAUCGGGGGAAACUGAGGCCCCGGGGAAGGCGGCCAGAGAGGUCAGGCCCUGUCCUUGGUGCAGUGUCUCGUCCUCUUUGCCGGAGUGAGCCCCCCAGGAUUCGCGUGUCCUCGGGAAAGACACUGGCAGGCCUUGUGGGCUGUGCUGCACCUCGGACGGCUUCGCACCAGCCAGCGCCCUCUCUCUCCUGCAGCACUCUGAUCUGCACCCCCUGAGGGGCUUCCACUGUCCGCGGGGAGUGUCACAUGACUGCCGCCCCAUGUGUGUGAGAGGCGUCCUCUGGGAGAGCAUGGAUCCUGAGGUCCCAGGAUUGUCAGCUGACCUCUGUCCUGUGUGCCCAGUGGCCCCAGGUGACGUGUCUUCAAGAAGAGGCUGAGCUGCGGUGCUUGUAAGAGUCAUGUGCUGUUCCUGGGGCUUGGAUGAUGUAGGGGAAGCAAGGUGAAAGUGGUAUCCCGUGGUUCCACGUUCUGUCCUGCUGUGGGGCUGUCCCUCACAUGCUUUCAGUGGCUGUUGCAGAGGAAGAGCCUCCGGAAAUCUGCGUGGGUCUCAGCCUUAGAUCCAAGGACAGUCCAAGGAAGUCCUAAGACCAUGGAGUUGGUGAUCUGGGAUCUGGGUUUGCUGAUAUUUCUCACCGUGAAUCUCUUGGUGGUGUUUGUGGGCACGAGAGGGGCAGAGAAUGGAGAGUGAGGCUACCACAUGAAGCGUCACCAGAGCUGCUCCCUGCUGCCUGCUCAGAGCACCCCGGAUCCACUGUUCAAUCUGCACAAGAUUCGGGGUCCAGACAUGGGAGACUUCAGCUGCCUCAGAGGACCGUGGACAGGGAAGGCCAGCCUCGCAUCCCUCUGUCCAUGCCUGGAAUGACUUUAAUAACCAAGAGUUUUAUUUUUGAAUUUGUAGCUGUCGUUCACUUUUUACCCACCCAUUCAAUAAACCUUACAGAAUUGCUCCA